rnacentral:rRNA from 1 species
GACGAACGCUGGCGGCGUGCUUAACACAUGCAAGUCGAACGGAAAGGCCCUGCUUUUGUGGGGUGCUCGAGUGGCGAACGGGUGAGUAACACGUGAGUAACCUGCCCUUGACUUUGGGAUAACUUCAGGAAACUGGGGCUAAUACCGGAUAGGAGCUCCUGCUGCAUGGUGGGGGUUGGAAAGUUUCGGCGGUUGGGGAUGGACUCGCGGCUUAUCAGCUUGUUGGUGGGGUAGUGGCUUACCAAGGCUUUGACGGGUAGCCGGCCUGAGAGGGUGACCGGCCACAUUGGGACUGAGAUACGGCCCAGACUCCUACGGGAGGCAGCAGUGGGGAAUAUUGCACAAUGGGCGGAAGCCUGAUGCAGCAACGCCGCGUGCGGGAUGACGGCCUUCGGGGUGUAAACCGCUUUCGCCUGUGACGAAGCGGGAGUGACGGUAAUGGGUAAAGAAGCACCGGCUAACUACGUG